rnacentral:rRNA from 1 species
UACGUAGGGUGCAAGCGUUGUCCGGAAUUAUUGGGCGUAAAGAGCUCGUAGGCGGUUCGUCGCGUCGGCUGUGAAAUCCCGAGGCUCAACCUCGGGUCUGCAGUCGAUACGGGCGGACUGGAGUACUGCAGGGGAGACUGGAAUUCCUGGUGUAGCGGUGAAAUGCGCAGAUAUCAGGAGGAACACCGGUGGCGAAGGCGGGUCUCUGGGCAGUUACUGACGCUGAGACGCGAAAGCGUGGGGAGCGAACAGG